rnacentral:rRNA from 1 species
GACGAACGCUGGCGGCGUGCCUAAUACAUGCAAGUCGAGCGGACCAAAGGGAGCUUGCUCCUGGAGGUUAGCGGCGAACGGGUGAGUAACACGUGGGCAACCUGCCUGUAAGACUGGGAUAACAUCGAGAAAUCGGUGCUAAUACCGGAUAAUAAAAAGAACUGCAUGGUUCUUUUUUGAAAGAUGGUUUCGGCUAUCACUUACAGAUGGGCCCGCGGUGCAUUAGCUAGUUGGUGAGGUAACGGCUCACCAAGGCGACGAUGCGUAGCCGACCUGAGAGGGUGAUCGGCCACACUGGGACUGAGACACGGCCCAGACUCCUACGGGAGGCAGCAGUAGGGAAUCUUCCGCAAUGGACGAAAGUCUGACGGAGCAACGCCGCGUGAGUGAUGAAGGUUUUCGGAUCGUAAAACUCUGUUGUUAGGGAAGAACAAGUGCCGUUCGAAAGGGCGGCACCUUGACGGUACCUAACGAGAAAGCCACGGCUAACUACGUGCCAGCAGCCGCGGUAAAG